ensembl:lncRNA
UGUCUCCAAUCCAAGCAGCAGGCAGAAAGACCUCCUAAAAGUUUGAAUAAACAAGUGUAAAUUUACUCUCUCAAUUGUACAUCUCAAUCCCUAAUCCUGCCCCAAAAAAGCCAGUGGAGAAUCGCCUGCCACUCCCAUGCCGUUCCCCACCGGUGCUGGCUCAGCCUGAGUAGGUUUAUAGUAUUCAGAUUGGUGCCUUAUUUGCCAUAUCAAAGGGAUUUGGUGCUGCAACUUCGACCAGGUUUUCACAAAUUGCAACGGGAUUAAAUAAACACAAUCUGGGUUUUUUUGUUGUUCUUUUUUAUUGAAAGCCAGUAGCAAAAAUAAUGGAUGCUGUAAUUCAAAAUAAAGUGAGAACAUAUAUGGAGAGUACAUGACAACGCAUGGUCAAGGUCAGAGUCUGUGUGCAAACACAGAUGCCUACACACCGCCACAGCCCAGAGAGCACACACCCAGGCACAGGUGAGCCUGGCCUUGUCUGCUCCCCACCAGGCUUCUAUCCUACUAUAGUUCAAGCAUGGUCCAAGGGUCAGGCGUAGUGCCCAGCAUGCGCCUGCUCUUGGUCACAUCAGG